GAACAGUUGUAUUUCCAUCAUCUUGUCCACGAACAACAUUUAAAGUGAUAUUAAUGAGAACAUCCAUUUAAAUUUCAAAAAUUCGAUCGGCCAGAGGUUUACAUGACAGAUACGAUGAUUUGAAGGGAGGUGAUUUUGAUCAAAAUGGGAAGAACCCUUUAGCCAUGUUAAUGAAGAGGAAUGUGAAUAUAUUGCUUUGAGAAGAUAAAUCUUGUUGUGUUGACGAGAAGCUGAAAAGUGUUCUUCAAAAAUGGUACCAGGCGGACGUCCAUAUUGUAACAGACCACCUUGCAUGAACGCUGUUGGACGUUCGUAUGGAUGCCUGUUUAAU